AGAGUUUGAUCAUGGCUCAGAUUGAACGCUGGCGGAAUGCUUUACACAUGCAAGUCGAACGAUGAACCUUAGCUUGCUAGGGGGAUUAGUGGCGAACGGGUGAGUAAUAUAUCGGAACGUGCCUUGUAAUGGGGGAUAACUAGUCGAAAGAUUAGCUAAUACCGCAUACGCCCUGAGGGGGAAAGUAGGGGAUCUUCGGACCUUACGUUAUAAGAGCGGCCGAUAUCUGAUUAGCUAGUUGGUGGGGUAAUGGCCUACCAAGGCUUCGAUCAGUAGCUGGUCUGAGAGGACGACCAGCCACAUUGGGACUGAGACACGGCCCAAACUCCUACGGGAGGCAGCAGUGGGGAAUAUUGGACAAUGGGCGCAAGCCUGAUCCAGCCAUGCCGCGUGAGUGAUGAAGGCCCUAGGGUUGUAAAGCUCUUUUGUGCGGGAAGAUAAUGACGGUACCGCAAGAAUAAGCCCCGGCUAACUUCGUGCCAGCAGCCGCGGUAAUACGA
rnacentral:rRNA from 1 species